CGGCUGAGGACUGGGCGGCUUGACCGGAAAGGCGGGGUUUGGACGCGCUGAACGCCUUCCGACUGCCUAGCCAAUCGCAGGCCAGCUGUGUCGCAGCAGCCAAUAGGAGAGGCCCGGCGCCUUUUGGGGCCUGCGCAGGCACGUUCCCUCUUGCCAUUCUGUCCUCCUUUUGUUAGAGUUCGGGUGUGCCUUCGGUCCUUACCUUCUGGUGCGCAAUCCGGCGCCAUCGCGCUUUGGGCGAGCAUGGUAAUGGGGAGUAGCGAGGUGGGAACCGAGCUGACGUCUGUCUGGUCUUGGCGACGGUGGCGCGCGCCCGUGAGGACUGGCCGGAGCAUGUCUCCAGGAGACGGGUCAAUGGUGCGGAGGUGACGCAGGAGCUCUUGGUGUGACCUGGGCCUAUGUAUGAUACCACAGGAGCUUGACCGAGGAUGCUCUGGUGUUUUAAUAAGUGACCCCUUUUUCUGAAGAUGUUGGGUGGUUAAUGAAAGAAGGAAUUGUAUUCUUGGCGAUGUCUGAAAGAAAUGUGUGGCUUUGAAGGAUGAUUAUGAAAUAUACAGGAAAGGUAUA